rnacentral:rRNA from 1 species
GCUAAUGCCAGGGCAGGAGCGGCGGGAAUACGGGGGGGCGGAGUGUGAAGUGUAGAUACGGGGGGUAAAGCGGUCGAAGGGGGGUUGUUAAGGGAGAUGUGGAAGACCUGGGAGCAACCUAGGAAUAGUAUUUCGAACUGGCGAACUAGAGUCUUGUAGAGGGGGGUAGAAUUCCAGGUGUAGCGGUGAAAUGCGUAGAGAUCUGGAGGAAUACCGGUGGCGAAGGCGGCCCCCUGGACAAAGACUGACGCUCAUGCACGAAAGCGUGGGGAGCAAACAGGAUUAGAUACCCGAGUAGUC